rnacentral:lncRNA from 1 species
UCCCUGCCCAUAUUUACACAAUAAAUCACUUGAACCAAUCGAUUAUGGUGGAAGCCAAUCAAAGAGACCAAUCGAUUGUACCUGGGUCCAAUCGAUUGUUAGUUGUGAAAUUCAGUUUUUUCUUCAUAAUUAAGCCUAACCAAUCGAUUAUUUGACAGAUGCCCAGGACCAACUGAUUGGUCCAUGUAUUUGUCUCCUAAAAUCACACUUCUAACUUCCUUUCUUCCCAAAUCCUCCAUGUUCAUUCAUUUCUAACAGAAACCACACAAGGUACACAAGCAAACAUAUAACAUAGCUUCAUUAAUCAACACAUACACAUCAUGGUAGCAAAAACAACAUUCAACAAUAUGAAGAACCACAACGACCAUGAAAAUCAUAAGCGAAUCAUUCAUUCAUGACAAAUUUCAUGAUUAAGAUAGAACAUAUAACAUGCUAUCAUGAAUCAAUAUCAGCUAUUCUAUGUUAUCAAGACAAAACCCUAGUUUCUAUUUCAUGAAAAGUUC